rnacentral:sRNA from 1 species
GAAAGCGAGAGAACGUUGCCAACGGCAACGGCCCGAAGGGCGAAGCGCGCAGCGCUGAGUCAUCCUUCCCCCACCACCA